rnacentral:lncRNA from 1 species
CCGGAUCUGAUAGAGCUGUCAACCUACACAACUGUGUAGAAGCAAGGGUGAGUACCAAAAGCAACAAGUACUCGCAAGUAACACUAAACUAAGCUAAACUAGCAGCUACAAACAACUCCUUUCAAUCCCAACCGAACCAACGAAACUUCAUUCUAACAUUGAACCAACAACCUAUACUACACAAUUCAUAAUCAACAGAUAUAUCCAACAGUAUCUCAACAUCAACCUCAUAUCCUCAUAUAAGAGCAAAUAGAUCAUAUAUCACAUGAAGAGGAGCAAGUAGGUAAAAUCCACACACCACAGACAAAGAUGAAGUCAAAUGCGAUGCAAAUGCAAUAAUGAUGUCAUGUAGUCGUGAUGCAUGUCUGUCCUAAGAUACACAUCUGUUGACGUAAUCAGACCGCGCUGAAUACUCAAAUCAGAACACAUGGGGCCCACACAUGGACCAUGUAUCACCGCCGGAACCAGAUCCCAUCGGCAUCCAAAUCGCUAGCCGGAGCUAGUCCAUCUCAUAUAUCUCUAGCCGGAGCUAGUCUCAACUGUGUCUCAUAUCCAUCCAUCCUCAUAUCAGUGUCUCAGAACUCAUGCAACAGAUAGUUCACACAUGGGAUGAAUAAUGAAUAUGCACAUGUCAUCAAUCACAAUCAUAUCACGAUCACAUCAUAGUAUUACACAUCAUCUGUCUCAACAUCAAUGUCUGUAUCAAUCAUAGCCUACUCAUGCUCUUCUAUCCCCUCAAUAUCAGUUAUCACAUGACUUAUUCAACAAAUUCAAGUCACAUAUAACACAUUUAGCUCGUUUUAUUCCCCAUCUUUCAAUUACAACAAUUUCAAUCAACAAAUAAAACUCAUCCUCAAUCCCCAUUACUCCCCAACACAAUUAGGAAAGUAGUCAUGUGUAGUCUAAGAGUUUAACAAAGUUUAGAAGUCACUUGCCUCAAAACACUUCAACUAGUAACUCAAAUUUGAGUUUUACCCUUCCGAGCACGCUCCAAAUCACCACAAUCUAUUCAUAAAUGGAAUCCCACAAUAAAUACGAAUCUAACAACACCAAUAUAGUGAAAUUUGGAGAAAAGGGUUGAGUUUUACCCUUCCGAGCACGCUCCAAAUCACCACAAUCUAUUCAUAAAUGGAAUCCCACAAUCAAUACUAAUCUAACAACACCAAUAUCGUGAAAUUUGGAGAAAAAGGUAAAAUGGUCAAAAAAAUCUUGUUCCGGAAAAUAUUCUCAAAAUCUGGAAAUUUUUAGUGAAAAAUGUUCCCCAAGAAAUUUAGAAUCCAAUAGUGAAAACCGUUUCGAAAAAGGAGUUGAAAUGAGUUCACAAGCUUAAAUUUUCUAUUUAAUUUGGAUUAGGCAAAAAACCCCAAAUUUUACAGUUGAGAUCUGAAAUUUUGAUGUUAAAAUCCAUAAAUAAUCGAUGGAAAUCAAAGAUAUAAGUUGGAAAUAACUUACCCAAUGAAUUCCUUGCGAAAACCCACUUGAAAUCACCUAUUUUCGAGCUCUCAAAGUCUAAAAAUGGAGAAAUGGGUAUUUUUCAAGUUAGGGGAAAAUGGCUACUGGUUUUGGCUUUAAAAAAAGAGAAAAGAAACUGCUGUUGC